rnacentral:rRNA from 1 species
CCUACGGGGGGCAUCAGUGAGGAAUAUUGGUCAAUGGACGAGAGUCUGAACCAGCCAAGUAGCGUGAAGGAUGACUGCCCUAUGGGUUGUAAACUUCUUUUAUAAAGGAAUAAAGUGAGGCACGUGUGCCUGUUUGUAUGUACUUUAUGAAUAAGGAUCGGCUAACUCCGUGCCAGCAGCCGCGGUAAUACGGAGGAUCCGAGCGUUAUCCGGAUUUAUUGGGUUUAAAGGGAGCGUAGAUGGGUUGUUAAGUCAGUUGUGAAAGUUUGCGGCUCAACCGUAAAAUUGCAAUUGAUACUGGCAGUCGUGAGUACAGUUGAGGUAGGCGGAAUUCGGGGUGUAGCGGUGAAAUGCUUAGAUAUCACGAAGAACUCCGAUUGCGAAGGCAGCUUACUAAACUGCCACUGACAUUGAUGCUCGAAAGUGUGGGUAUCAAACAGGAUUAGAUACCCGAGUAGUC